rnacentral:misc_RNA from 1 species
AGAAUUGACUUUUGUUGUGACUGUCUGAAUCUUCUUAACGAGAGCGUGUCGAUUGCAAUUCGGAGUCAAGACGCUCUGCAGAUCUUGGCACAGAUCUAGAGGUGGAAAUUGAUCGCCCAUCGGCAGAUUAUUCCAAAAUAGUCUUGGACGAUGUUGGGGUGAAAAAUCCGAAGCGUCUAUCAGUCUUGGUUCGCAAUGGAGAUAUCUAUGUGAAAAUAACCAAUGUCACGAAAGAGCCCCAGAGUUUCUAUCACCUACAGAUUUUUUCUAUCCCAAAGAUGAAAAUUAUCAACGCUACAACAUGAACAUCUUCGGCAUCCCCAUCCUACAUUGCACGCGUGUCAACACCCUCAGGUUGAGUGAACUCAGGCGCUUGAACAAUCGAAGAAGAAUUGGCAGCUGUUCAGGGGAUGCAUGACUCACUCUAAGAAUCGGAUCCACCCUAAGACGUGGAUCCACAAUAAAGGAAAAUGAAAAGAGCUAUACGAACGGAUACUAAAAUUUGAUGAAGACGUGUGUUAUGUAGAUUGAGAUCGAGAGUUCAAUGGAAGAUG